GUCUCCGUAGUUCAAUGGAUAGAACAAGGACCUCCUAAGUCCUAGAUACAGGUUCGAUUCCUGUCGGAGACGCCA
rnacentral:tRNA from 7 species